CAUGCAAGUCGAACGAGAAUCUACUGAAAGAGCUUUCGGACAAUGGAUGUAGAGGAAAGUGGCGGACGGGUGAGUAACGCGUGAGGAACCUGCCUUGAAGAGGGGGACAACAGUUGGAAACGACUGCUAAUACCGCAUGACGCAUAGAGGUCGCAUGAUCUUUAUGCCAAAGAUUUAUCGCUUCAAGAUGGCCUCGCGUCUGAUUAGCUGGUUGGCGGGGUAACGGCCCACCAAGGCGACGAUCAGUAGCCGGACUGAGAGGUUGAACGGCCACAUUGGGACUGAGAUACGGCCCAGACUCCUACGGGAGGCAGCAGUGGGGAAUAUUGGGCAAUGGGCGCAAGCCUGACCCAGCAACGCCGCGUGAAGGAAGAAGGCUUUCGGGUUGUAAACUUCUUUUAAGAGGGAAGAGCAGAAGACGGUACCUCUAGAAUAAGCCACGGCUAACUACGUGCCAGCAGCCGCGGUAAUACGUAGGUGGCAAGCGUUGUCCGGAUUUACUGGGUGUAAAGGGCGUGCAGCCGGGUCUGCAAGUCAGAUGUGAAAUCCAUGGGCUCAACCCAUGAACUGCAUUUGAAACUGUAGAUCUUGAGUGUCGGAGGGGCAAUCGGAAUUCCUAGUGUAGCGGUGAAAUGCGUAGAUAUUAGGAGGAACACCAGUGGCGAAGGCGGAUUGCUGGACGAUAACUGACGGUGAGGCGCGAAAGUGUGGGGAGCAAACAGGAUUAGAUACCCUGGUAGUCCACACUGUAAACGAUGAAUACUAGGUGUGCGGGGACUGACCCCUUGCGUGCCGCA
rnacentral:rRNA from 1 species